rnacentral:rRNA from 1 species
AUUGAACGCUGGCGGCAUGCCUUACACAUGCAAGUCGAACGGUAACGGGCCUUCGGGUGCCGACGAGUGGCGAACGGGUGAGUAAUACAUCGGAACGUGCCCGAUCGUGGGGGAUAACGAGGCGAAAGCUUUGCUAAUACCGCAUACGAUCUACGGAUGAAAGCAGGGGACCGCAAGGCCUUGCGCGGACGGAGCGGCCGAUGGCAGAUUAGGUAGUUGGUGGGAUAAAAGCUUACCAAGCCGACGAUCUGUAGCUGGUCUGAGAGGAUGAUCAGCCACACUGGGACUGAGACACGGCCCAGACUCCUACGGGAGGCAGCAGUGGGGAAUUUUGGACAAUGGGCGCAAGCCUGAUCCAGCCAUGCCGCGUGCAGGAUGAAGGCCUUCGGGUUGUAAACUGCUUUUGUACGGAACGAAAAGCCUUCGUUUAAUACAGGAGGGUCAUGACGGUACCGUAAGAAUAAGCACCGGCUAACUACGUG